GCCCAGUCAGUAUGGUAGAAAUGACACUCGGCUUGUAAUCGAGUGGGCUCGGAUUCGAAUCCCGAAUAAGGCA